UUUAUGGAGAGUUUGAUCCUGGCUCAGGAUGAACGCUGGCGGCGUGCCUAAUACAUGCAAGUCGAGCGAACGGACGAGAAGCUUGCUUCUCUGAUGUUAGCGGCGGACGGGUGAGUAACACGUGGAUAACCUACCUAUAAGACUGGGAUAACUUCGGGAAACCGGAGCUAAUACCGGAUAAUAUUUUGAACCGCAUGGUUCAAAAGUGAAAGACGGUCUUGCUGUCACUUAUAGAUGGAUCCGCGCUGCAUUAGCUAGUUGGUAAGGUAACGGCUUACCAAGGCAACGAUGCAUAGCCGACCUGAGAGGGUGAUCGGCCACACUGGAACUGAGACACGGUCCAGACUCCUACGGGAGGCUGCAGUAGGGAAUCUUCCGCAAUGGGCGAAAGCCUGACGGAGCAACGCCGCGUGAGUGAUGAAGGUCUUCGGAUCGUAAAACUCUGUUAUUAGGGAAGAACAUAUGUGUAAGUAACUGUGCACAUCUUGACGGUACCUAAUCAGAAAGCCACGGCUAACUACGUGCCAGCAGCCGCGGUAAUACGUAGGUGGCAAGCGUUAUCCGGAAUUAUUGGGCGUAAAGCGCGCGUAGGCGGUUUUUUAAGUCUGAUGUGAAAGCCCACGGCUCAACCGUGGAGGGUCAUUGGAAACUGGAAAACUUGAGUGCAGAAGAGGAAAGUGGAAUUCCAUGUGUAGCGGUGAAAUGCGCAGAGAUAUGGAGGAACACCAGUGGCGAAGGCGACUUUCUGGUCUGUAACUGACGCUGAUGUGCGAAAGCGUGGGGAUCAAACAGGAUUAGAUACCCUGGUAGUCCACGCCGUAAACGAUGAGUGCUAAGUGUUAGGGGGUUUCCGCCCCUUAGUGCUGCAGCUAACGCAUUAAGCACUCCGCCUGGGGAGUACGACCGCAAGGUUGAAACUCAAAGGAAUUGACGGGGACCCGCACAAGCGGUGGAGCAUGUGGUUUAAUUCGAAGCAACGCGAAGAACCUUACCAAAUCUUGACAUCCUUUGACAACUCUAGAGAUAGAGCCUUCCCCUUCGGGGGACAAAGUGACAGGUGGUGCAUGGUUGUCGUCAGCUCGUGUCGUGAGAUGUUGGGUUAAGUCCCGCAACGAGCGCAACCCUUAAGCUUAGUUGCCAUCAUUAAGUUGGGCACUCUAAGUUGACUGCCGGUGACAAACCGGAGGAAGGUGGGGAUGACGUCAAAUCAUCAUGCCCCUUAUGAUUUGGGCUACACACGUGCUACAAUGGACAAUACAAAGGGCAGCGAAACCGCGAGGUCAAGCAAAUCCCAUAAAGUUGUUCUCAGUUCGGAUUGUAGUCUGCAACUCGACUACAUGAAGCUGGAAUCGCUAGUAAUCGUAGAUCAGCAUGCUACGGUGAAUACGUUCCCGGGUCUUGUACACACCGCCCGUCACACCACGAGAGUUUGUAACACCCGAAGCCGGUGGAGUAACCUUUUAGGAGCUAGCCGUCGAAGGUGGGACAAAUGAUUGGGGUGAAGUCGUAACAAGGUAGCCGUAUCGGAAGGUGCGGCUGGAUCACCUCCUUU
rnacentral:rRNA from 1 species